UACAGAGAGUGCGAACGUUGUUCGGAAUUACUGGGCUUAAAGAGCACGUAGGCGGCAUCGUAAGUGUCAGGUGAAAUCCCACGGCUCACCCGUGGAACUGCCCGGCAGACUGCGAUGCUCGAGUGUGGUAGGGGAGAACGGAACUCCUGGUGGAGCGGUGAAAUGCGUAGAUAUCAGGAGGAACACCGGUGGCGAAGGCGGUUCUCUGGUCCACAACUGACGCUGAGGUGCGAAAGCCAGGGGAGCAAACGGG
rnacentral:rRNA from 1 species